GACGAACGCUGGCGGCGUGCUUAACACAUGCAAGUCGAGCGGAGCGGCGAACGGGUGAGCAACGCGUGAGUAACUGCCCCCCUCUCUGGGAUAACAGUUGGAAACGGCUGCCAAUACCGGAUAGUGGGGGAUGACUCGCGCCCUAUCAGCUUGUUGGUGGGGUAGUGGCCUACCAAGGCGACGACGGGUAGCCGGCCUGUGUGGGCGGCCGGCCCAAUUGGGCUGAGAUGAGGCCGAAACUCGUACGGGAGGCAGCAGUGGGGAAUAUUGCACCAUGGGGGAAACCCUGAUGCAGCAACGCCGCGUGCGGGAUGACGGCCUUCGGGUUGUAAACCGCUUUCAGCCAUGACGCGGUAGUGGCAGAAGGAGCACCGGCUAACUACGUGCCAGGAGCCGCGGUAAUUC
rnacentral:rRNA from 1 species